GAUGAACGCUGGCGGCGUGCCUAAUACAUGCAAGUCGAGCGAACAGAUAAGGAGCUUGCUCCUUUGAAGUUAGCGGCGGACGGGUGAGUAACACGUGGGUAACCUACCUAUAAGACUGGGAUAACUUCGGGAAACCGGAGCUAAUACCGGAUAACAUUUAGAACCGCAUGGUUCUAAAGUGAAAGACGGUUUUGCUAUCACUUAUAGAUGGACCCGCGCCGUAUUAGCUAGUUGGUAAGGUAACGGCUUACCAAGGCGACGAUGCGUAGCCGACCUGAGAGGGUGAUCGGCCACACUGGAACUGAGACACGGUCCAGACUCCUACGGGAGGCAGCAGUAGGGAAUCUUCCGCAAUGGGCGAAAGCCUGACGGAGCAACGCCGCGUGAGUGAUGAAGGGUUUCGGCUCGUAAAACUCUGUUAUUAGGGAAGAACAAAUGUGUAAGUAACUCUGCACGUCUUGACGGUACCUAAUCAGAAAGCCACGGCUAACUACGUG
rnacentral:rRNA from 1 species